GACGAACGCUGGCGGCGUGCUUAACACAUGCAAGUCGAACGGAAAGGCCCUGCUUUUGUGGGGUGCUCGAGUGGCGAACGGGCGAGUAACACGUGAGUAACCUGCCCUUGACUUUGGGAUAACUUCAGGAAACUGGGGCUAAUACCGGAUAGGAGCUCCUGCUGCAUGGUGGGGGUUGGAAAGUUUCGGCGGUUGGGGAUGGACUCGCGGCUUAUCAGCUUGUUGGUGGGGUAGUGGCUUACCAAGGCUUUGACGGGUAGCCGGCCUGAGAGGGUGACCGGCCACAUUGGGACUGAGAUACGGCCCAGACUCCUACGGGAGGCAGCAGUGGGGAAUAUUGCACAAUGGGCGGAAGCCUGAUGCAGCAACGCCGCGUGCGGGAUGACGGCCUUCGGGUUGUAAACCGCUUUCGCCUGUGACGAAGCGUGAGUGACGGUAAUGGGUAAAGAAGCACCGGCUAACUACGUGCCAGCAGCCGCGGUGAUACGUAGGGUGCGAGCGUUGUCCGGAUUUAUUGGGCGUAAAGGGCUCGUAGGUGGUUGAUCGCGUCGGAAGUGUAAUCUUGGGGCUUAACCCUGAGCGUGCUUUCGAUACGGGUUGACUUGAGGAAGGUAGGGGAGAAUGGAAUUCCUGGUGGAGCGGUGGAAUGCGCAGAUAUCAGGGGGAACACCAGUGGCGAAGGCGGUUCUCUGGGCCUUUCCUGACGCUGAGGAGCGAAAGCGUGGGGAGCGAACAGGCUUAGAUACCCUGGUAGUCCACGCUGUAAACGGUGGGUACUAGGUGUGGGGUCCAUUCCACGGGUUCCGUGCCGUAGCUAACGCUUUAAGUACCCCGCCUGGGGAGUACGGCCGCAAGGCUAAAACUCAAAGGAAUUGACGGGGCCCCGCACAAGCGGCGGAGCAUGCGGAUUAAUUCGAUGCAACGCGUAGAACCUUACCUGGGUUUGACAUGGAUCGGGAGUGCUCAGAGAUGGGUGUGCCUCUUUUGGGGUCGGUUCACAGGUGGUGCAUGGCUGUCGUCAGCUCGUGUCGUGAGAUGUUGGGUUAAGUCCCGCAACGAGCGCAACCCUUGUUCACUGUUGCCAGCACGUUAUGGUGGGGACUCAGUGGAGACCGCCGGGGUCAACUCGGAGGAAGGUGGGGAUGACGUCAAGUCAUCAUGCCCCUUAUGUCCAGGGCUUCACGCAUGCUACAAUGGCUGGUACAGAGAGUGGCGAGCCUGUGAGGGUGAGCGAAUCUCGGAAAGCCGGUCUCAGUUCGGAUUGGGGUCUGCAACUCGACCUCAUGAAGUCGGAGUCGCUAGUAAUCGCAGAUCAGCAACGCUGCGGUGAAUACGUUCCCGGGGCU
rnacentral:rRNA from 1 species